GACUGCGCGGCUUACCAUGCAAGUCGAGCGGAGAGAGGUAGCUUGCUACCGAUCUUAGCGGCGGACGGGUGAGUAAUGCUUAGGAAUCUGCCUAUUAGUGGGGGACAACAUUUCGAAAGGAAUGCUAAUACCGCAUACGUCCUACGGGAGAAAGCAGGGGAUCUUCGGACCUUGCGCUAAUAGAUGAGCCUAAGUCGGAUUAGCUAGUUGGUGGGGUAAAGGCCUACCAAGGCGACGAUCUGUAGCGGGUCUGAGAGGAUGAUCCGCCACACUGGGACUGAGACACGGCCCAGACUCCUACGGGAGGCAGCAGUGGGGAAUAUUGGACAAUGGGCGCAAGCCUGAUCCAGCCAUGCCGCGUGUGUGAAGAAGGCCUUAUGGUUGUAAAGCACUUUAAGCGAGGAGGAGGCUACUUUAGUUAAUACCUAGAGAUAGUGGACGUUACUCGCAGAAUAAGCACCGGCUAACUCUGUGCCAGCAGCCGCGGUAAUACAGAGGGUGCAAGCGUUAAUCGGAUUUACUGGGCGUAAAGCGCGCGUAGGCGGCUAAUUAAGUCAAAUGUGAAAUCCCCGAGCUUAACUUGGGAAUUGCAUUCGAUACUGGUUAGCUAGAGUGUGGGAGAGGAUGGUAGAAUUCCAGGUGUAGCGGUGAAAUGCGUAGAGAUCUGGAGGAAUACCGAUGGCGAAGGCAGCCAUCUGGCCUAACACUGACGCUGAGGUGCGAAAGCAUGGGGAGCAAACAGGAUUAGAUACCCUGGUAGUCCAUGCCGUAAACGAUGUCUACUAGCCGUUGGGGCCUUUGAGGCUUUAGUGGCGCAGCUAACGCGAUAAGUAGACCGCCUGGGGAGUACGGUCGCAAGACUAAAACUCAAAUGAAUUGACGGGGGCCCGCACAAGCGG
rnacentral:rRNA from 1 species